rnacentral:rRNA from 1 species
AUUGAACGCUGGCGGCAUGCCUUACACAUGCAAGUCGAACGGCAGCACGGGAGCAAUCCUGGUGGCGAGUGGCGAACGGGUGAGUAAUAUAUCGGAACGUGCCCGGUCGUGGGGGAUAACGUAGCGAAAGCUACGCUAAUACCGCAUACGAUCUACGGAUGAAAGCGGGGGAUCGCAAGACCUCGCGCGAUUGGAGCGGCCGAUAUCAGAUUAGGUAGUUGGUGAGGUAAAGGCUCACCAAGCCGACGAUCUGUAGCUGGUCUGAGAGGACGACCAGCCACACUGGGACUGAGACACGGCCCAGACUCCUACGGGAGGCAGCAGUGGGGAAUUUUGGACAAUGGGCGGCAAGCCUGAUCCAGCAAUGCCGCGUGCAGGAU